CCUACGGGCGGCUGCAGUGGGGGAUAUUGCACAAUGGGGGGAACCCUGAUGCAGCGACGCCGCGUGGGUGAAGGAGUGCUUCGGCAUGUAAAGCCCUAUCGGCAGGGAAGAAGCAAGACGGUACCUGACUAAGAAGCCCCGGCUAACUACGUGCCAGCAGCCGCGGUAAUACGUGGGGAGCGAGCGUUGUCCGGAAUUACUGGGUGUAAAGGGAGCGUAGGCGGGACUGCAAGUUGGGUGUCAAAUCUACCGGCUCAACCGGUAGCCGCACUCAAAACUGCAGUUCUUGAGUGAAGUAGAGGCAGGCGGAAUUCCUAGUGUAGCGGUGAAAUGCGUAGAUAUUAGGAGGAACACCAGUGGCGAAGGCGGCCUGCUGGGCUUUUACUGACGCUGAGGCUCGAAAGUGUGGGGAGCAAACAGGAUUAGAUACCCUGGUAGUC
rnacentral:rRNA from 1 species